CUUACCGAUUCUCCAGAAACGUAAGAUUAUUUUUAAACGAACUAUUUAAAGGAAGAUCCUCGAUAUUUCGCUUCCUUAUAAUAAUGAAGAUAAACGCUGAAGAGAUUUUAGAAGAACUUCAAAAGAAUCUCAAUUAUGAAACGAUCCUUUGACGUCUAUCGAUCGAGCGAACGGUGACACGAUUGAUGGAGCAAAGACGUCGAACGUGAUUGAUCGAGCCUUCUAUAUUCUCUAUCUCGUGACAGUCUGGUGACAGCCUUGAAGUCGUCUUGAGGUGAACAUACGAAGAGGUUUUAUGUAGUAGUAGAUACUUAGCAAGUAGUAAGCCGUGAAUUCGUAGCGGCAGAUGUAUGAAGCUAGCGAUAAUGGUCGACGACACUUAGAAACAAAGGAAGGAAUGAACUAUUUAAAGAGGAACAUAACGCACUAUUACGCGGUUUCGAAUGCACUGCACCCGGGUGAGUCGAUCGAAGUAAAAGUAAUCGCGGCACCGUGAUUGAUCGGCCCACGCGUUGCAUUAAAACGAAAUCGGUUGCAGUGGCCGUGUCGUUUUAUAUUGAAACCGUUACCCGCCACUCGUUCUUCUAUUUUUGCGCCAACACUUUCCCUUUCCUCUAUCUAGCGCAGCAUGCGACGCGACGCGACGUCGCGAAAGACCAACAAUGUGCUCUCUCGCUUUUAAUUAUCUGAACGGAGUACCUUUGUACGGGUUAAAUAUCGUCUCGAGAAACGAUUAAUAAUAAACUUUGUUUAUAUCGAGUGGAAACGACGUAGCAUCAAGAUCGUAAAUAUCAAGUAUUAAGUGGCGGCGGUCAUUGAUGUACAUCGUUUAGCUUAGGAUUGUUUUAACGUUGUAAGAGUUUCGUAGGAGUAUCUUGAGAUGUACAGGUAUCAUUCGUACAUAGAUUUUGCAAUUAUGACCCCUUUGUCAAUAUCUUUCAGGCUCCAAAAUUACACAUGAAAAAGAAUCGUUAAGAAUCGUUAUCAAAACGAUCGACGAACAGCUCAAUUUAUGAUCGAUCGGGUUAUCCCCGACUAUUAUCGAGCGACUUUUUAUCAUUGAUCUGCGCUAAUGCAUCGAAUGCAUGUUGCAUGAACGUUGAAAGGAAAUAAGAGAUAAAGAUUGUUUGAUAUUUUUGGAUUAUUGAGUAAUUUGAGAUUUGGAGAAAUGAUAUUUGACAAAUUGAAUUAUUAAAAUUCUGAUUAUUAUAUGCAGUCGCACGAGGGAAUUAACUGUAUGUAAAUAAAACACUUGCUAUAUUGUAGUAUUAAAAAGUCGUAAGAAUUAAGAUUUUCAAGAAUAGCGUUUAACAAUAACGAACGAGCAAGUUUUAUGGAUAUUUUUAAAUUUGCAACUUUAAAGUCUUUGAAAUGUGCGUGCUCAAAAUGAUUUCGAAUUUCAACACAUUUGCACUGAGGUGUGACAAACUGAAUAUACGAUAGCGUAAUUUGAUUACUGUAGUUGAAGUCCAUAAAAUUGUUCAAGAAUUAGGAAGAUGUAGUAAUUUGCUAUAAAGAACGGCACGCCAAAAUAUUUAGAUAGAUCGAUAUAUUUUCUGUUUCGUAAAGAUCAAUAAAAUCCAACGAUUGCUCGACCCGACAAUGGUCGAUUAGAAUUCCGCCAGUUUCAAACGGUACCAGCUCGUCCGAGGAACAAUUAAAUUGCUUAUAAAUGAACGUUGGAUCGAUUUGGAUCGUGAUGUACGUAUCUAAUCGAUGGGAUAAUAUGUAGUUCAAAGUAUAAACAGUAGAACACUGUCAGAAUUGCUGUCCUAAAUGAAUCAAUUCUGAUAACGUGAAGCAAAAAACUUCUCUGGAAUCUUUGCUAAAACUUCCAAUUGCACAAUAGAGAACGGAAUAUUCUCUAAUGUUAUCAAAUAUUAUUAAUCGCAUCAUUUUAUAUCUAUCUAAGAGUCCAAUUUUAAAUGGUAGCUAAUAUAAAUUAUUAAUAAAGUUGGCAAUAUAAUUAAUGAUAUGAUAUUGUAAGAUAAUACGAAAAAUCAAACAUAUAUUUGCAUGAAACGAUCUUAUAACGAAUGUUAAAUCGUUUUCUCUUUGUGUCAACCAGUCCUUGGCACUUUAUCCGCAAGAUAAUUGAUUUUUCUAUUGGUUAAGGGAACAGUGAUUAGGAUAGGAUUUUCUAUUAACUCUGAAAUCAAUAGAGCGUUCGCCUAAUAAUUUCUAUCAAAUCGCUGCCUUGGUGAAUAUGUUAAUCGUCGCUGUUUCUAUCUUAAAGAUUAAAACUGAUAAAAUUCUAAUUUUCCUCUGGCUCAAUCGCUAAAGAUUUAGAUCAUUUUCUUAUUAAAUAUUACGAUAACUAUUCCAAAAACAAUAUUUAGUUUUGAAUUGCGUAUCAAAUUAAUCAUAAUUAAAAAUUUUCGAUCCUCGAUCCAAAACAUCUUUCUUUAAUCACCAAUCAUCGAAAUUCCUCGCAAAUACGAAACUCACUGUUAAAUAUACGGCUAAGUACGAAAGUUCAUUGUCAACAUAACGUAUACUAUGGAUAUAACGAAUAUAUGAUCUUUAAUUUUAAUAACAAGAAACGACGGAAAAAUAGAUAAAAUAGCGUUUUCGAUGGUAAAUAAAGUCUAAUAUAUUUUUCCCUAAA